UAAUAACUAAAGGAAGACCAACACCGGAGCUGAAAGUUUUACUUCCAGACAGUUGAUUCUCAGACGGAGUAGGAAAGACAUGCCGAGGAUAAACUUGGCUUUGGAUGAACGGAUAUUUUUGUGCAGAAUUAGCGGUGCAUGGAUUGCAUUAAUACGUAAAGCUGUAAUGUUCCUGCCAUAUCGCCCAGCCUGACUGCAAAGACCUGAGAGACAACAUGAGGAUGAGAUGACGAAUGGAAGCUCACCGAUGCAGCUUCAUGCAGCUCCAGCAGGAAACACUCCAGAAUCUGCAGGAAUCACUGUCUGCUUACAUCGAGCAGGCCUCCGUAUCGGAAAAUGCUGAGCAGGGAGUGGACGUGG